rnacentral:misc_RNA from 1 species
GAUGAAGAACGUAGCGAAAUGCGAUAGUAAUGUGAAUUGCAGAAUUCAGUGAAUCAUCGAAUCUUUGAACGCACAUUGCGCCCGCUAGUAUUCUGGCGGGCAUGCCUGUCCGAGCGUCAUUUCAACCCUCAAGCCCCUCCGGGGGCCUGGCGUUGGGGAUCGGCCCCGCUCCGGCGGCCGGCCCCGAAAUGUAGUGGCGGUCUCGCCGCUGCCUCCUCUGCGUAGUAGAAACACCUCGCAUUGGGACGCGGCGGGCCCACGCCGUUAACCAGAUGAAUUUUUUCAAGGUUGACCUCGGAUCAGGUAGGAAUACCCGCUGAACUUAAGCAUAUCAAUAAGCGGAGGA